rnacentral:rRNA from 1 species
GUACACUCCUACGGGAGGCAGCAGUGGGGAAUUUUGGACAAUGGGCGAAAGCCUGAUCCAGCAAUGCCGCGUGAGUGAAGAAGGCCUUCGGGUUGUAAAGCUCUUUUGUCAGGGAAGAAACGGUGAGAGCUAAUAUCUUUUGCUAAUGACGGUACCUGAAGAAUAAGCACCGGCUAACUACGUGCCAGCAGCCGCGGUAAUACGUAGGGUGCAAGCGUUAAUCGGAAUUACUGGGCGUAAAGCGUGCGCAGGCGGUUUUGUAAGUCUGAUGUGAAAUCCCCGGGCUCAACCUGGGAAUUGCAUUGGAGACUGCAAGGCUAGAAUCUGGCAGAGGGGGGUAGAAUUCCACGUGUAGCAGUGAAAUGCGUAGAUAUGUGGAGGAACACCGAUGGCGAAGGCAGCCCCCUGGGUCAAGAUUGACGCUCAUGCACGAAAGCGUGGGGAGCAAACAGGAUUAGAAACCCGAGUAGUCCC